rnacentral:rRNA from 1 species
GACGAACGCUGGCGGCGUGCUUAACACAUGCAAGUCGAACGGAAAGGCCUUUUCGGAGGUACACGCGUGGCGAACGGGGGAGUAAAACGUGGGUGAUCUGUCCUGUGCACUGGGAUAAGCGUGGGAAACAGGGUCUAAUAUCGGGUAGAGCCGCACUUUAGAGUGUGUGGGGGAGAGAUUUUUCGGUGUAGGGGGGGACCGCGGCCUAUCAGCUUGUUGGUGGGGUAAUGGCCUACCAAGGCGGCGACGGGUAGCCGGACUGAGAGGGUGGUCGGCCACAUUGGGACUGAGAUACGGCCCAGACUCCUACGGGAGGCAGCAGUGGGGAAUAUUGCACAAUGGGCGCAAGCCUGAUGCAGCGACGCCGCGUGGGGGAUGACGGCCUUCGGGUUGUAAACUCCUUUCGCCAGGGACGAAGCGUUUUGUGACGGUACCUGGAUAAGAAGCACCGGCUAACUACGUG